GAUGAACGCUGGCGGCGUGCCUAAUACAUGCAAGUCGAGCGAACAGACGAGGAGCUUGCUCCUCUGACGUUAGCGGCGGACGGGUGAGUAACACGUGGGUAACCUACCUAUAAGACUGGGAUAACUUCGGGAAACCGGAGCUAAUACCGGAUAAUAUAUUGAACCGCAUGGUUCAAUAGUGAAAGACGGUUUUGCUGUCACUUAUAGAUGGAUCCGCGCCGCAUUAGCUAGUUGGUAAGGUAACGGCUUACCAAGGCGACGAUGCGUAGCCGACCUGAGAGGGUGAUCGGCCACACUGGAACUGAGACACGGUCCAGACUCCUACGGGAGGCAGCAGUAGGGAAUCUUCCGCAAUGGGCGAAAGCCUGACGGAGCAACGCCGCGUGAGUGAUGAAGGUCUUCGGAUCGUAAAACUCCGUUAUUAGGGAAGAACAAAUGUGUAAGUAACUAUGCACGUCUUGACGGUACCUAAUCAGAAAGCCACGGCUAACUACGUG
rnacentral:rRNA from 1 species